UAUAAAUUUGUAUUUUAUAGAUGUCUUAUGGAAUGAGGAUUCAAGGAACUGGAAGUAACGACGGGCCUAAACUGGAAGAAUCCGUCGCUGACUCGACGCAGAGAAUUGAAAGAGCUGCAUACAAGAAACUGAUGAUCGAAACAAAGCGAAGCCGCUACAGGCAAGUUGUGUUUCUUUAUCUAACCUAUUUUUUUUAACUAACGUAAUUGAACAAUUAUAGUGUUUACUACUCGGAGGAAGACGACGAUGAAGAAGGAAUUCGUGAAUGGUGCAAAACUACCGAGUUCAGUGGAAGAGCUGAUUUUCUUUGGUACGAUGUUCCGACCUAUGUGGACAAUUCAUAAUUUUUUUACGAUUCUGACUUUCGAACAACCCACUGUGAUGCCGACAACCCUACAUUUCAAAUUCAGGCAUUAUUUUGUUUUUGUUUUUUCAAGUUUUGACCGUCACGAAGUUCUCAACUGACCGAUUAGAACUCCAAAUUCUCUUAAAACUGUUAGUCCCCUUGACGUUUAUUCCCGUCUCGUCUUCUGUAGUGUUGUACAAAUUUAAAGUAUCCGAAUGAAAUCUUCUGCGUCACGUUUGGAUUUUAGCGCUCGACAUUUUAUUUCAAAUCGCGUUUAUUUUAAUCGUUCGUGGAUUCUGAGCAAUCUUCUAAGCGAUCUGUUCUCUGUCGCUACAUGGUUAAACUUAUGUUUACCAGAUGGCGAUUGCCUUUGUGAGGAAUUAUAUCGGCAAUUUGUUUUCGAGCAUUUUCGAGACGCUGAGCGAAAUCCAUUGUUGUAUUUCAAGUUUUCGACAUUUCUUUUAAGAGAAUGGAAAAGGUCAAGUAGCCUAUAAUUUCAACUAUAGGCCAAAUCAGUGAAUCACCUAUUCUCGUGGCCAACACUGCUGUCACGAAAGUCUUCUCUUGGCAGUGUAGGCUGUAGCUGCUGUACGUCUCAUUCCAUGAGGAAAUACAACAGUUGAGCUAGGAUGAUGCUCAUCUUCUGCCUGGCACAACAUUCGACCAGCAAUCAACUUCAAUAUGGCACGAAAGAGAUAAAGGGCUGAAAAAAAGAGAUCAAUGGAAUACAUAUUGUUAAUUAUACCAAAGGUUAAAAACACAAAAUCUGGGAAGAGAAAAUAAUUCAUUUUCUCUUUUACAGCCAAUGGAAUUGGCGCUAGUUGUUUGCGAAUGUUAUUUGAAGACCAGGAAGGUGACAGGUGACCAGUGAAGGUGACUUUGAAUGCUUGCAUUCAAAGUCUUAAACUUUUCCAUCAUGAAAUGAAAAGAGUAGUUUUAGUUUAGAUUCUUCAAGGUUGCUGAAUGCCAACAAUUAUGCAUUAAUUUAACGCUGCAGUUGCUGUACAUCUCAUCCCACGAAGAAAUACAACAGCAAUUGAAGUAAU
rnacentral:lncRNA from 1 species